GAGGGUAUAGCUCAGUGGUAGAGCACCUGCUUAGCAUGCAGGAGCUCCUGGGUUCAAUCCUCAGUCCCUCCA
rnacentral:tRNA from 1 species